GAUGAACGCUGGCGGCGUGCCUAAUACAUGCAAGUCGAGCGAACAGACGAGGAGCUUGCUCCUCUGACGUUAGCGGCGGACGGGUGAGUAACACGUGGAUAACCUACCUAUAAGACUGGGAUAACUUCGGGAAACCGGAGCUAAUACCGGAUAAUAUAUUGAACCGCAUGGUUCAAUAGUGAAGGACGGUUUUGCUGUCACUUAUAGAUGGAUCCGCGCCGCAUUAGCUAGUUGGUAAGGUAACGGCUUACCAAGGCAACGAUGCGUAGCCGACCUGAGAGGGUGAUCGGCCACACUGGAACUGAGACACGGUCCAGACUCCUACGGGAGGCAGCAGUAGGGAAUCUUCCGCAAUGGGCGAAAGCCUGACGGAGCAACGCCGCGUGAGUGAUGAAGGUCCUCGGAUCGUAAAACUCUGUUAUUAGGGAAGAACAAAUGUGUAAGUAACUAUGCACGUCUUGACGGUACCUAAUCAGAAAGCCACGGCUAACUACGU
rnacentral:rRNA from 1 species